CCCCGGUAAACGGCGGCCGUAACUAUAACGGUCCUAAGGUAGCGAAAUUCCUUGUCGGGUAAGUUCCGACCUGCACGAAUGGCGUAAUGAUGGCCAGGCUGUCUCCACCCGAGACUCAGUGAAAUUGAACUCGCUGUGAAGAUGCAGUGUACCCGCGGCAAGACGGAAAGACCCCGUGAACCUUUACUAUAGCUUGACACUGAACAUUGAGCCUUGAUGUGUAGGAUAGGUGGGAGGCUUUGAAGUGUGGACGCCAGUCUGCAUGGAGCCGACCUUGAAAUACCACCCUUUAAUGUUUGAUGUUCUAACGUGGACCCGUAAUCCGGGUUGCGGACAGUGUCUGGUGGGUAGUUUGACUGGGGCGGUCUCCUCCUAAAGAGUAACGGAGGAGCACGAAGGUUGGCUAAUCCUGGUCGGACAUCAGGAGGUUAGUGCAAUGGCAUAAGCCAGCUUGACUGCGAGCGUGACGGCGCGAGCAGGUGCGAAAGCAGGUCAUAGUGAUCCGGUGGUUCUGA
rnacentral:rRNA from 2 species